rnacentral:rRNA from 1 species
AUUGAACGCUGGCGGCAGGCCUAACACAUGCAAGUCGAGCGGAAGAAGGGAGCUUGCUCCUGGAUUCAGCGGCGGACGGGUGGGUAAUGCCUAGGAAUCUGCCUGGUAGUGGGGGAUAACGUCCGGAAACGGGCGCUAAUACCGCAUACGUCCUGAGGGAGAAAGGGGGGGAGCUUCGGACCUCACGCUAUCAGAUGAGCCUAGGUCGGAUUAGCUAGUUGGUGGGGUAAAGGCCUACCAAGGCGACGAUCCGUAACUGGUCUGAGAGGAUGAUCAGUCACACUGGAACUGAGACACGGUCCAGACUCCUACGGGAGGCAGCAGUGGGGAAUAUUGGACAAUGGGCGAAAGCCUGAUCCAGCCAUGCCGCGUGUGUGAAGAAGGUCUUCGGAUUGUAAAGCACUUUAAGUUGGGAGGAAGGGCAGUAAGUUAAUACCUUGCUGUUUUGACGUUACCAACAGAAUAAGCACCGGCUAACUUCGUG